GCGGCUGUGCUGGAACUGGCAGACAGGCACGUUUGAGGGGCGUGUGAGUUAUCUCGUAUGGGUUCAAGUCCCAUUAGCCGCACCA
rnacentral:tRNA from 4 species